UGGGGAAUAUUGCACAAUGGGCGAAAGCCUGAUGCAGCAACGCCGCGUGAGUGAUGAAGGCCUUCGGGUUGUAAAGCUCUGUCUUUUGGGACGAUAAUGACGGUACCAAAGGAGGAAGCCACGGCUAACUACGUGCCAGCAGCCGCGGUAAUACGUAGGUGGCAAGCGUUGUCCGGAUUUACUGGGCGUAAAGGAUGCGUAAGCGGAUUUUUAAGUGAGAUGUGAAAACCCUAAGCUUAACUUGGGGACUGCAUUUCAUACUGGAAAUCUAGAGUGCGGGAGAGGAGAAUGGAAUUCCUAGUGUAGCGGUGAAAUGCGUAGAGAUUAGGAAGAACACCAGUGGCGAAGGCGAUUCUCUGGACCGUAACUGACGCUGAGGCAUGAAAGCGUGGGUAGCAAACAGGAUUAGAUACCCUGGUAGUCCACGCCGUAAACGAUGAGUACUAGGUGUAGGAGGUAUCGACCCCUUCUGUGCCGCAGUUAACACAAUAAGUACUCCGCCUGGGAAGUACGAUCGCAAGAUUAAAACUCAAAUGAAUUGACGGGGUCAUAGCUGUUUCCU
rnacentral:rRNA from 1 species